rnacentral:rRNA from 1 species
GCUAACGCGUUAAAUCGACCGCCUGGGGAGUACGGCCGCAAGGUUAAAACUCAAAUGAAUUGACGGGGGCCCGCACAAGCGGUGGAGCAUGUGGUUUAAUUCGAUGCAACGCGAAGAACCUUACCUGGUCUUGACAUCCACAGAACUUUCCAGAGAUGGAUUGGUGCCUUCGGGAACUGUGAGACAGGUGCUGCAUGGCUGUCGUCAGCUCGUGUUGUGAAAUGUUGGGUUAAGUCCCGCAACGAGCGCAACCCUUAUCCUUUGUUGCCAGCGGUUCGGCCGGGAACUCAAAGGAGACUGCCAGUGAUAAACUGGAGGAAGGUGGGGAUGACGUCAAGUCAUCAUGGCCCUUACGACCAGGGCUACACACGUGCUACAAUGGCAUAUACAAAGAGAAGCGACCUCGCGAGAGCAAGCGGACCUCAUAAAGUAUGUCGUAGUCCGGAUUGGAGUCUGCAACUCGACUCCAUGAAGUCGGAAUCGCUAGUAAUCGUAGAUCAGAAUGCUACGGUGAAUACGUUCCCGGGCCUUGUACACACCGCCCGUCACACCAUGGGAGUGGGUUGCAAAAGAAGUAGGUAGCUUAACCUUCGGGAGGGCGCUUACCACUUUGUGAUUCAUGACUGGGGUGAAGUCGAAAAGGGGGGGACCCAAAACCGACGACAGACCCCGGAGCCGAUUUCUGAGACACCGAGGGAGG